GACGAACCGUGCGAACGUUAUUCGGAAUCACUGGGCUUAAAGCGCGUGUAGGCGGGGCGGUGCGUCGGUCGCUGAAAUCCCCCGGCUCAACCGGGGAAGGGGCGCCGAUACGACCGCCCUGGAGCGACGUAGGGGGAACUGGAACUUCCGGUGGAGCGGUGAAAUGCGUUGAGAUCGGAAGGAACGCCCGUGGCGAAAGCGAGUUCCUGGACGUCGGCUGACGCUGAGACGCGAAAGCCAGGGGAGCAAACGGG
rnacentral:rRNA from 1 species